rnacentral:rRNA from 1 species
UACGUAGGGGGCAAGCGUUGUCCGGAAUCACUGGGCGUAAAGGGCGCGUAGGCGGCCACCGCAAGUCGGUUGUGAAAUCUCUGGGCUUAACCCAGAAAGGUCAACCGAUACUGCGGGGCUAGAGUGCAGAAGGGGCAACUGGAAUUCUCGGUGUAGCGGUGAAAUGCGUAGAUAUCGAGAGGAACACCUGCGGCGAAGGCGGGUUGCUGGGCUGACACUGACGCUGAAGCGCGAAAGCUAGGGGAGCGAACGGG